rnacentral:lncRNA from 1 species
AUGGAAUUCAUGUUCUGGAAAGCAAAGGAACUGGAUCUACAACCAAGAAUCAACUACCCAGCAAAACUGACCAUAUUCUUACAGGGGAAGGUAUGGUCAUUUAACAAAAUAGAAGACUUCCAAGAAUUCCUAAAGAAAAGACCUGACUUAAACACUAAAUUUGAACCCCUAACACAGAACUCAAGAGAUUCAUUAAAAGUGGAAGACUACAUAAGUCAUGGAGAGGAUACAGUCGAUAUUACUGGAGGGAUGACCUACAUUGAAGAAAUUAUGGUGCUUGAAAUUCUCAACCUUGCCUGCCAGAGCUAUGGUAUCUGCCUGCCCUUUCCUGUUUUGGAUGACAUCUCUGGACCUGUCCUUUUGCCUGCUGACUAGCCUGUGGAAUCUUCUGGACCCUUCUAGCAUGAUUUGGUGCAGUGGUUCCAAAUGCAUUGGCUGAAAAAAAAAUAUGGCCCCUGGGUGGGGCACAUAGUUAAAGCAGGGGCCUAUGAAUCCAUCCAUAUGUGGACCUAACAUCAUUUUUUAUCUUUAUUUAGCUACAACAAAAUAUGCUUACUAAUAUAAACAAGCAAAUGUAUCUUAUAUAGACUAAAUUUAAAGUGUAUUGCAAACAUAUAGAAAGAGUUAUUUUUCAAAUAUAUGUAGGUAAUAUUGUGAUGAAUAAAAGAUUCAUUUAAAAGUGUUAAUACA